rnacentral:rRNA from 1 species
UACGAAGGGGGCUAGCGUUGCUCGGAAUUACUGGGCGUAAAGCGCACGUAGGCGGCUUUCUAAGUCGGGGGUGAAAUCCUGGAGCUCAACUCCAGAACUGCCUUCGAUACUGGAAAGCUCGAGUCCGGGAGAGGUGAGUGGAACUGCGAGUGUAGAGGUGAAAUUCGUAGAUAUUCGCAAGAACACCAGUGGCGAAGGCGGCUCACUGGCCCGGUACUGACGCUGAGGAGCGAAAGCGUGGGUAGCAAACAGG